rnacentral:rRNA from 1 species
UACGAAGGGUGCAAGCGUUAAUCGGAAUUACUGGGCGUAAAGCGCGCGUAGGUGGUUCGUUAAGUUGGAUGUGAAGCCCCGGGCUCAACCUGGGAACUGCAUCCAAACUGGCGAGCUAGAGUACGGUAGAGGGUGGUGGAAUUUCCUGUGUAGCGGUGAAAUGCGUAGAUAUAGGAAGGAACACCAGUGGCGAAGGCGACCACCUGGACUGAUACUGACACUGAGGCGACGAAAGCGUGGGUAGCAAACAGG